rnacentral:piRNA from 1 species
UUUACCAAUGGUAUAAGGAUUCAGUUUAGC